AUCAGUCGAGUGAGCAUCUCCGACACGGCAACAACUGCAGCGCACUAUCUGUCACCAUCUGCCUUCUUCACCUUAUUGCCAGUUCGCAUCCAUGGUUAAUAAGGCGUCGUAUGCUGUUCAUGAGUGUUGUAUCGUUGAUUGAUGGGUCGACCACUGGUGUACUGAUGUCUCCUCGGUAUGGCGGAUACCAAACUGCAACACCGCCGCCUUACUACCCAAAAGCAACUUACGCAACGACCAGUUACUGCACCGAGGUCUACAAGUACUACACUACUACGGCACCGGAGUUUUGUACCAUAACUUGCGCUGCCCCGAGCCACUACACUGACGCUUUGAAGUGUUACUCUGCCCUUAGUUACUACACCACCAAGGCGACGGAGUACUUACUACAUGACUACGCAUGCUGCCCCAUCCUACUACACCGAUUCUCCUAACUGCUACACAGAGGCUCCCGCUGGUUACUCCACCAAAACGGUCGAAUACUACACCGAAGCGCCAAGUUUUAUUCUGCCCCGAUCUACACAACCACAACUGAGGCGGCCAAGUGUGACGCAGUCCAGACUUACUACACAGAAGCUGCUCUUUGGUACUACGUUGAACAUAAAUACUACACUACAGAUACUCCAGUUUACUACACCACAACCUGCGCUACACCUAGCUACAACACCGCUGCCCUCAACUACCACACCGAAGAAGCCGCCUACUUCUUCCAAGGUUCAUAUGUAUUACGUCAGCAAUUCUCCCGACUAUGUCACCACUACUUAAGCUGCUUUGAACUAUACACCGAAGUUCUGAAGUAUUUCUCUGGAUGUGUUGAAAGAUUGCUGAAAUACAAGAUUGAUUGAUAAA